rnacentral:rRNA from 1 species
CUGGAGACGGACGCCAUUUGUAACAUCUGUGGGAAUGGUAUUGAGGAUGAGUACCAUGCAGUGAUCAUGUGCACAAAGAGUAGGGGCCUAAGAGCAGCCAUGAGAGAAUCCUGGAAUCUACCGUCGGAAAAAAAAAUUCACACAGGUGAUGAUUGGCUACAAGUGCUCUUGGACUCUGUUAAUGAGGACAUGCGAGCAAGAAUCCUUUUGCUUAUCUGGCGCAGCUGGUUUCUCCGGGAAGAUUGUGUGCGCAAUGACGGUAGGGAAACAAUCGGACGGUCGGUUCACUACCUGACACAGUAUGAGGAGGAGCUGAGAAAUGCAGAAACUUCAGUUGAGUGGACGGGAGGGAAGAACACCUGUGUCAGGGAUUGA